UAAACCACAGAAGAAGAAACUGACUUCGCUUGCUAACACGGAGAGCUUAGCCAGUAACUGCCCACGUCUACGUUCGCUGAGAUUACCAGACAACACAUUGUUUGUGCACAUGUUGUACUGGUGACCUCGCACAUCCCUAUUGAGACAACGGUAAGUUCUCUCAUCAAUAAACUAACUUCAAAGAUUUAAUGAUUAACUAUCAACUAGAUUAAAACUUUGAGGAGUAAAGCACAGUUUAAAAAGGUUUUGUUUAGAUUAAAACUCAUUAACUAUUUAAUGACAUAUUUCCAUCGGGCAGAGAGAUGAGACAGAAAAUUAUGCUUGGCUCACAAUUGUCAGAGUACCAUUACCAC